AUUGAACGCUGGCGGCAGGCUUAACACAUGCAAGUCGAGCGGGGUGAUGGUGCUUGCACUAUCACUUAGCGGCGGACGGGUGAGUAAUGCUUAGGAAUCUGCCUAUUAGUGGGGGACAACAUCUCGAAAGGGAUGCUAAUACCGCAUACGUCCUACGGGAGAAAGCAGGGGAUCACUUGUGACCUUGCGCUAAUAGAUGAGCCUAAGUCGGAUUAGCUAGUUGGUGGGGUAAAGGCCUACCAAGGCGACGAUCUGUAGCGGGUCUGAGAGGAUGAUCCGCCACACUGGGACUGAGACACGGCCCAGACUCCUACGGGAGGCAGCAGUGGGGAAUAUUGGACAGUGGGGGGAACCCUGAUCCAGCCAUGCCGCGUGUGUGAAGAAGGCCUUAUGGUCGUAAAGCACUUUAAGCGAGGAGGAGGCUCUUUUGGUUAAUACCCAAGAUGAGUGGACGUUACUCGCAGAAUAAGUACCGGCUAACUCUGUGCCAGCCGCCGCCGUAA
rnacentral:rRNA from 1 species